rnacentral:rRNA from 1 species
GGACCCGACCGCUAUCGGGGUGGGACUAAGCCAUGGGAGUCGUGCGCCCCGGGGUAUGGCGGGGCGCGGCGGACGGCUCAGUAACACGUGGCUAACCUACCCUCGGGACGGGGAUAACCCCUGGGAAACUGGGGCUAAUCCCCGAUAGGGGAGGUGGCCUGGAAUGGUCCCUCCCCGAAAGGGGCGUAGCGCCAUCCCCGCUGCGCCCGCCCGAGGAUGGGGCUGCGGCCCAUCAGGUAGUUGGCGGGGUAACGGCCCGCCAAGCCGAUAACGGGUGGGGGCCGUGAGAGCGGGAGCCCCGAGAUGGGCACUGAGACAAGGGCCCAGGCCCUAUGGGGCGCACCAGGCGCGAAACCUCCGCAAUGCGGGAAACCGUGACGGGGUCACCCCGAGUGCCUCCCGAUAAGGGAGGCUUUUCCCCGCUGUAAACAGGCGG